GAAACAUCACAUGUUUGUGGAACAGCAGAUACGUGUCUGAUGACACUGCAUGCACCAUACAUGCUCACUAUAAAUCUCGCUACAUUUCUUACAGCGCUUCCUGUGACCUAAAGUCUGUUGACGUCUCCAGACCAGCGCUAAAGAAGUGCUCCCUGAUCUUUGAAAAGAAAAGCACUUUUCAGUCUUUCCAUGAGUUGUCCCUUAAUCUGAGCUGCAACCAAAUGAAGAGUGUAAUCACUUCCUUCAUGCCAUCCUGUCACAUAAAGGUGAAUCCUCCUGCAGAGCCAAAAGUCAACUUCACGUCUGUUUCCUGGUUGUCCCAAGUCCCCAAACAUGAAAGGAUCAGUUCAUACAGAAGUGAAGUCGAGUGGAAGAAGCAGGAUCAGUCAUGGAGUGAUCCUGCUGUGCACAGAAAACGUGGCAUUCAGUGUGAGCAGGAGUGCAAGGCAGAGCUGGAGCCAGAUUUGCUGAUACAAGGCGAGAGGUACGAGGCACGAGUUCGUGUGCGGUCUAUUUUUCGGCACCGCGAGGGAGCCUGGAGUGACUGGAGCCCCACUGCAUCAUGGGAGUCACCAGUAGGGAAAAUAAAACCACCAUCAGGUACAUUUAUCUCAAAAUGUUUUGUUUAACAUAACAUACCAAUGUCAAAAUCUUUCCAAUUCAUUUAUGC